AAAAAAUCUCACAAAUAAUAGAUGCAUAAACUACAGGUACAGUACAUACUGUACUUUAAUUCUUGGCAUACAUGUAAGACAGCCAUCCAGCUGGAGAAGCAGAGAGAAUAAACCAUAUUCAAGUUUGGCAUAUCUGCUCACAAGGUUCCUUAUAAAGAAAGAAAAAACUUCUGAGUACCAGGCUGCAUAAUAAGAACACAGAUCACUGACAGAAUAGAGACAACAAGACCAAGAAAUGGAAUAGACUCUUUUUCAUUCCAUGGAACUAAAAAUUCAGUGCUCAGCCUGAAAGCAACCACCUUGCAGUGCAAAUGCAAAUGUAGGAAGAAUCUGGACCACAGUAUUUAACACACUGAAUGAAGAUUCAGCUUUCUAGCAAGUCAGAAUGGACAAGAAAAUGGUACCCAAAAAUGGACAAAAAAUUCAACUACUUCAUGACAUUCAGCAUGUCAUAGGUCAGAUUGAGAUUUCUGAGUGCUGUUUGGCACAAUUUCAGCACAGGAAACAUCUGAAGGAAAGGCACUGGAUAGGUUCUAUGUUCUAACAGAUACAAUUAUUAUCUAUGGGAAUGUCAGAAAUAUAUGAUAUUUUGAGAACAUACUGCUACCCCUUUUGAUGCAAGCGGCUAGCCAACAUUGAUGAUGGAGUCAGGUAUCUCUCUGAUACAGUCCUGUUUAUUUACAAAGAAUACAAAGUUCUGUUUCCCAGAACAUAAUAGGAAUCAAACAAGAGGACAUUCUGUUUCUUUGUCCACAGUUCCAAGCCUCUUUCUAGCUAGCACUCUGCCCAAAAUACUCUAUCUCUUUUCUUUCUCUCAUGGCAACGUUUUUCUUUUCUUUCUUUUCUCUGCCUGCCUUUAGCUGUCUCUGGCAUACAAAAUUCCAUCAUAAAAUAUCCUGUGAAACCCUUCCACUCACACAGCUCAAUUCAUGAAAAACUUGCAUGUGGCCUGCAUUUUUGAUGAUGGCUCCUAUUGCUUCAGCUAUCUCACCCCAAAAAAGGAUUUUAACUGCUUCUUCCAUUUAUCCUGAAUAAAGGGUGGUUGUCAUGCAUGUAACAUGCAUCAUAACAAUACCUUCCUUUCCCCCCGAAAAAAAUUGUAGAGUGAAUAUUGUAAGGUGAAAAUGUCAGAACAGAAAUUGGUUCUAUCUGUUCUGUAUUUUAUUAAUGUUUGUUCAGCAUUAUUUAUUUUCACUUUAGCCAACCAUUUGAACUGACACUUGAGUCUUAAAAAGUUCUGAAUAACUUUGGAGUAUAAUGGAUCAUUUCAGAUGCCACCUACUUCUGUCUGUUCACAGAACGAGUCCUUAUAUAUUUUACAUGAUUUUUUUUAUUAUAAAAUGUUUUGACUUAUUUUGUCUGUUUGCAUAUAAAACCAAAUAUGAUUGGUUGAUGCAAAAAUUAAGACGGGAUGUUAAUCAGUUAACCCUUUGCAGACAUGUUAUACAUAUCCAUCUUAAGGCUCAUUUGUCUGUUAACAUGGAAAUCUUCAUUGUGCUAACAUUUUGCUUUGUACAUUUUCCAUAUAUAUGACUACGAUGAACUGGGUUCCUAAUGCUUGGUGGGAAUUUUGUUUUUAAAUAUCCAGCUAACCAGAACCAAAGGUCUAGAUUCUCUGCUGCACCCCUGGUUUCUGCCAGUUGCAGCUCCUUGGUUUUGAAGUUUAUUUUACACCAUCCCCAUCAGAGUGUAGAAGAGCCUCAGGCUCCUCUGCAUUAUGCUGUUGGCCCCCAAGUGCCUGCCUACCAUCUGAGAAUUCCCAGAGCCCAGUAAUGUUCCAGCCUUCCUCUUUCUGACUCUGAUAUGCCCCCUAUGUAAAGGGCUGCCAUUGGAGCUAGCUGGAGACUCCCCUACACUAGGGGAAUCCUCAGCUGAGUAGAGCUGGCUGUUUUCUAGCCCUUUGGGACUGCAAAGGGAGUAGAAGACAUUAGAGAAUCUGGCCCCACUGUUGCAUUAUAUAUGUCAGAAUUGCUUGGCCCAUCUGCCUUUCCCUCCAAUUAUCUCACUUUAAUGCUGUCCCUAUUUAAAUUUCCCUCACAUCUUUUGUAAUAGCUACCCCGUUCACAUCCUCAUCUAUAGAAUGGUGAGCCACUUUGUUUAAUGGAUACUAUAAAUACAUAUUUAUGAAUAUUAAAAGGCUCGAUUUUGGCUGCUCCUGCAUGGUCAUAUUGUGGGGGAGGGUGUUCUUAAGAACUCUCCACCCAGUGAAUGGCAGCAGAAGCCACAUGCAAACUAUUCAUACUGCUCCCUGGAGAUGUAACAUUUGAGUUGGUCAUAGGGUGACCAGACAGCAAGUCUGAAAAAUUGGGACGGGGGUGGGGGGUAAUAGGAGCCUAUAUAAGAAAAAGACCCAAAAAUCAGGACUGUCUCUAUAAAAUUGGGACAUCUGGUCACCCUAGUUGGUCACCAUGCCCAGUAGAGUAUUUUGCCCUAGGAAAUAUAAACAACUGGGUUGAGUGAGUGGUGAUGGGCUUGUGUCUCUGUGUUCCUGGAGACAGAGACAGUAAACACACUUCUUAAAAAAGUAGCACGGAGUGAUGAGAACUGAACUGCCCUACAUCUGCCCCUUGCUUAGGGAAUAAACACUGCCCAUUACAGCACUCUACCUACUUCUCUGUCAGCACUUCCACUAGAGCUGGACAAAUUAUUCAUGGUGAACAACUUAUCUGAGGAAUUUAGCUCUGUGCUCUCCAAAUACCUGAAAUAAACUUCAAUUGUAUUAACUUGCUUGUUAUUAAAAAUAAUUUGAGUGUGUUAUACAAAUUCUGGACUCCUCACAAAAUAUUUGCUGGGAGUAUUGCUUUGAGCACUUGCUCUUCAUAAUUUGCUGUUCAUGGUGUGUGAUUGGUCGAUUAAGUCAUGUGGUAUUGCUUCCGUAGUCUCAUUGGAUGACUCACUUUUAUAAACAAGGUAGAGGCUGAAUGAGUUGUAGACUGCUUAACUUGGUUUAAAGAUUAAAGAUGGCAGGACAAACCUGCAAUGAAAAUAUAUUUGUACAAAUAUUCAUGAGGCUUCCCUUUUCUGAGACGAGACCCAGAAGCAGAUCUACCAUGGAGCUAUGCUAACUUACCCCAUCUAAGGAUCGACCCCCAUACAUCUGGUCCUGAAUGAUGCAAGUGCUGCAAGGUGCACGCAUAAUCAUCAGGAAAGGAGUGAUGAGCAGGACAUUUAUUGUAAACUCUUCAAGAGAGGAACUGUAACUACCAAACUGCACUGAGACCGUGAGCCCAACUGGAGUCUUUGGGAGCUGCUGCAAUACAAAUCGUAGCUAAUAACAGCAGCAGGAGAGCGAACACAUGGAAAACUGGACUUCCGCUAAUGAAAGUGUUGCUGCUGGGUUACUUGUGCCACAUAAAGUAGCAGAUAUAUGACCAAAGGAGAGAAUGCAUUUCCUCAUUUGGUCUUAUUGGAGAAAGCAAAAUGGUAAUAAUACUAAGAUGAUAAAAUCCCAAAAGUCUUAAUAAGCUUUUGGAAGGUUAGUGUGAUUUGUUUUCUCAAAUGUUGAUUUAUAAACUUCUCUCGUAAUAGCUGGGAGUGAGCUGAUAAUGCAAACCAAAAACUGAUGAUAAAAACUAAGCACUGUUAAAAUGCCUGUACAUGCCAGAAGCCUCAAUCAACAGUCAUUUGGUUAAUAAAAUAUAAAUAAAAAUAAAAAUACAAUAUAAAACCUAA